AUUGAACGCUGGCGGCAGGCUUAACACAUGCAAGUCGAGCGAGCGGCGGACGGGUGAGUAAUGUCUGGGAAACUGCCUGAUGGAGGGGGAUAACUACUGGAAACGGUAGCUCAUACCGCAUCCACUCAGAUGUGCCCAGAGGGGAUUAGCUAGUAGGUGGGGUAAUGGCUCACCUAUGCUACGAUCCCUAGCUGGUCUGAGAGGAUGACCAGCCACACUGGAACUGUGACACGGUCCAGACUCCUACGGGAGGCAGCAGUGGGGAAGAGUGCAAAAUGGGCGCAAGCCUGAUGCAGCCAUGCGGCGUGUGUGAAGAGGGCCUUCGGGUUGUAAAGCACUUUCAGCGAGGAGGCGUUACUCGCAGAAGAAGCACCGGCUAACUCCGUGCCAGCAGCCGCGGUAAUAC
rnacentral:rRNA from 1 species